UACGUAGGGUGCGAGCGUUGUCCGGAAUUAUUGGGCGUAAAGAGCUUGUAGGCAGUCUGUCGCGUCUGCUGUGAAAAUCCGGGGCUCAACCCCGGACUUGCAGUGGGUACGGGCAGACUAGAGUGUGGUAGGGGAGACUGGAAUUCCUGGUGUAGCGGUGAAAUGCGUAGAUAUCUGGAGGAACACCGGUGGCGAAGGCGGCAUCCUGGACAAAUAUUGACGCUGAGGAGCGAAAGCCAGGGGAGCAAACGGG
rnacentral:rRNA from 1 species